CCUACGGGUGGCAGCAGUAAGGAAUAUUGGGCAAUGGUCGGAAGACUGACCCAGCCAUGCCGCGUGCAGGAAGGAGCCCCUCUGGGGUGUAAACUGCUUUUCUACGGGAAGAAAACGCCCUUGCGAGGGAACUUGCCGGUACCGUAGGAAUAAGCACCGGCUAACUACGUGCCAGCAGCCGCGGUAAUACGUAGGGUGCGAGCGUUGUCCGGAUUUAUUGGGUUUAAAGGGUGCGUAGGUGGCAUAUUAAGUCUUGGGUGAAAGUCUGCAGCUCAACUGUAGGAUUGCCUGCGAUACUGAUAAGCUUGAGUUUGGUUGAGGCAACUGGAAUUGGUGAUGUAGCGGUGAAAUGCAUAGAUAUCACCAGGAACGCCGAUAGCGUAGGCAGGUUGCUAAGCCGAUACUGACACUGAGGCACGAAAGCGUGGGGAUCAAACAGG
rnacentral:rRNA from 1 species